GAGCCUAAUGGAGUGGACAUUCCCAAUCCGGUGGUUAUGAGAGUUUCCAGAGGCUUCAUCCUUCUUCAUCACGUUGCAACUCACUAGAAGAAUAGAGAAUCAGGUCCCGCUACGAUGUAGAACCUAGACACGCCGGAUUUCAUCACCAUCGGUGGUGAUUCAAAACAUUAAAACACUCACGCCAUCUUCGUUUCCAUCUCUCCCAACCUAAAACGAAACACUUCCACCUAAACAAAUCAAAGCUACCGCGAUAUGAAUCUUCGACGGAAUAGAGUCGGGAGGCGAAUGAAAAACGGAAACGGAUUCGACCGUGAUUCACACCAUAUCAAAUUAACUAACAUGAAGAGAAGAGAUUCCUACCGGCGAUAGUGAAGGCGGCUUCAUAGGCGACGUCAAAUUCGAAAGUCAGGAAUUAGCGGUGGGGCGGAUAUAAGGAGUUACAGGAAGUUCGUUAUAAAGAACGAUUUGCGGAAUUCAAAAUAAACGGAUGAAGAUGGUCUACGAAGAUCGUUAUACAAUUGGCGCGGUUUGGCUAUGAUCCAGGAAAAGAGAAGUGAUGUAGUUUGACUGUAAUUUUCGUUGAGGAAGAAAGAUGGUGGCCAGAACUUUGUUAGCAGAUGGUGGUGGUUCAACUAUGAUCCAGGAAAAGAGAAAUAAGAGGGGAGGGGAAAGCUUCAAUGUUACUUCAUGGAUUUAUAGAGUUCUGUUGCAUUGGAUAUGAGGUUUUGAACUUGGAUGUGCAGGCCACGUUUUCAUGCUGCUUGUCGUGGUUCGUUUGGAAAUUUGUUUUGUUAUGAGUUCUUCAUUUGGUGUUUUGUCGUUUAUGUUGCGUUUUCGCGUCAUCUGCGUUUCACUUGACUCGCCAAUUUCACUUUCCUGCAUUUCCACUUUGCUUAUGUGGAUUCCCUUGGUGUAAUCAAAUGCAUUUUUUUCAUUUUGUCUUAUUCUGCAUGACUUGGACUUUGGAUAUUUGGAAUUUGAUGCUGGAUGUUGGAUUUGGAUGGGUAAUUGAAUUAUCGAA